GACGAACGCUGGCGGCGUGCUUAACACAUGCAAGUCGAACGGAAAGGCCCUGCUUUUGUGGGGUGCUCGAGUGGCGAACGGGUGAGUAACACGUGAGUAACCUGCCCUUGACUUUGGGAUAACUUCAGGAAACUGGGGCUAAUACCGGAUAGGAGCUCCUACUGCAUGGUGGGGGUUGGAAAGUUUCGGCGGUUGGGGAUGGUCUCGCGGCUUAUCAGCUUGUUGGUGGGGUAGUGGCUUACCAAGGCUUUGACGGGUAGCCGGCCUGAGAGGGUGACCGGCCACAUUGGGACUGAGAUACGGCCCAGACUCCUACGGGAGGCAGCAGUGGGGAAUAUUGCACAAUGGGCGGAAGCCUGAUGCAGCAACGCCGCGUGCGGGAUGACGGCCUUCGGGUUGUAAACCGCUUUCGCCUGUGACGAAGCGUGAGUGACGGUAAUGGGUAAAGAAGCACCGGCUAACUACGUGCCAGCAGCCGCGGUGAUACGUAGGGUGCGAGCGUUGUCCGGAUUUAUUGGGCGUAAAGGGCUCGUAGGUGGUUGAUCGCGUCGGAAGUGUAAUCUUGGGGCUUAACCCUGAGCGUGCUUUCGAUACGGGUUGACUUGAGGAAGGUAGGGGAGAAUGGAAUUCCUGGUGGAGCGGUGGAAUGCGCAGAUAUCAGGAGGAACACCAGUGGCGAAGGCGGUUCUCUGGGCCUUUCCUGACGCUGAGGAGCGAAAGCGUGGGGAGCGAACAGGCUUAGAUACCCUGGUAGUCCACGCUGUAAACGGUGGGUACUAGGUGUGGGGUCCAUUCCACGGGUUCCGUGCCGUAGCUAACGCUUUAAGUACCCCGCCUGGGGAGUACGGCCGCAAGGCUAAAACUCAAAGGAAUUGACGGGGCCCCGCACAAGCGGCGGAGCAUGCGGAUUAAUUCGAUGCAACGCGUAGAACCUUACCUGGGUUUGACAUGGAUCGGGAGUGCCCAGAGAUGGGUGUGCCUCUUUUGGGGUCGGUUCACAGGUGGUGCAUGGCUGUCGUCAGCUCGUGUCGUGAGAUGUUGGGUUAAGUCCCGCAACGAGCGCAACCCUUGUUCACUGUUGCCAGCACGUUAUGGUGGGGACUCAGUGGAGACCGCCGGGGUCAACUCGGAGGAAGGUGGGGAUGACGCCAAGUCAUCAUGCCCCUUAUGUCCAGGGCUUCACGCAUGCUACAAUGGCUGGUACAGAGAGUGGCGAGCCUGUGAGGGUGAGCGAAUCUCGGAAAGCCGGUCUCAGUUCGGAUUGGGGUCUGCAACUCGACCUCAUGAAGUCGGAGUCGCUAGUAAUCGCAGAUCAGCAACGCUGCGGUGAAUACGUUCCCGGG
rnacentral:rRNA from 1 species